rnacentral:rRNA from 1 species
UACGGAGGGUGCAAGCGUUGUUCGGAAUUACUGGGCGUAAAGAGCGUGUAGGCGGUCGAUUAAGUCAGGUGUGAAAGCCCUUGGCUCAACCAAGGAAGUGCAUCUGAAACUGAUCUACUUGAGCACCGGAGAGGAGAGUGGAAUUCCUGGAGUAGAGGUGAAAUUCGUAGAUAUCAGGAGGAACACCGGUGGCGAAGGAGCCUCUCAGGACCGAUACUGACGCUGAGACGCGAAAGCGUGGGGAGCACCCAGG